rnacentral:tRNA from 1 species
GGGGCUAUAGCUCAGUUGGGAGAGCGCCUGCUUUGCACGCAGGAGGUCUGCGGUUCGAUCCCGCAUAGCCCACCA